rnacentral:rRNA from 1 species
GGGAGACUGCCGUUGAUAAACCGGAGGAAGGUGGGGAUGACGUCAAGUCAUCAUGGCCCUUACCUCCAGGGCUACACACGUGCUACAAUGGCGCGUACAGAGGGCUGCAAGCUAGCGAUAGUGAGCGAAUCCCAAAAAGCGCGUCGUAGUCCGGAUCGGAGUCUGCAACUCGACUCCGUGAAGUCGGAAUCGGUAGUAAUCGCAAAUCGGAAUGUUGCGGUGAAUACGUUCCCGGGCCUUGCUCACACAAACCCGUCACACCAUGGGAGUGGGUUGCACCAGAAGUAGUUAGCUUUAACUUUUCCGCGUAGGUUCUUUUUAU